ensembl:lncRNA
GAGAUGCUGAAUCCUGAGCCAGGAGUGGCCUCAGCGAAUCACUAGCUUGUUGCUGUGGGACUUUGGCUGAAUCAAAGCUAUGGUUUUUCCAGUAGUCAUGUACAGAGGGAGAUGUGAGAUCUCUGACCCGUGGUGAGUCCUUGGUCUCGUGAAAGGAGAGGUUGUGUUAUUGGAGGUUGAGUGAAGUGACCGGAGGUGAUGGGGGCACCUGACACGUCUGCCUCGGGUUAGCAGCUUCCAGGGACCAAUCAGUCGCCACCCGCCUCCCCAGCUUCUUCUGGUGCGAGGGAGGGACAAGUUGAAGGUGGUGCUAAUGGUAAAAAACCUGCCUGCCAGUGCAGAGGACAUGAGACCCGGCUUUGAUCCCUGGGUCAGGAAGAUUCCCCUGGAGGGGAAAAUGGCAACCCACCCCAGUAUUCAUGCCUGGAGAAUCCCAUGGACAGAGGAGCCUGGCGGUUAUGGUCCAUGGGGUCACAAAGAGUCAGACACGACUGAAGAGACGACACAUGCAUAUUUGGUUUACAAUGUUAUUUCUGCUGCACAGCAAAGCGAUUCAGUUGUAUGUGUAUAUAUAUAUAUAUAUAUAUAUGUAUAUAUA